CUGCUCGUACAUGAACAAAAGGAGGGUCCGGAGGGAAAGGCAAAUAGAGUGGAAAGCAUAGUAGAAGUUUAGAGGUGAAACAGAAGGGCGGGUUUGCGAGAAUAGCGCUUGGAAGCAGGAGGUGGGGGCAAUAGAAAGGGGAGCCGGGGUUAGGCUGAAGGGGAGGGGGCAUGCGAGAUGUUGAGGGAUCGAAUGAACAGUAGUGGGGGAAAGUAGGCUGCAUCAGGAAAUGGUUGGGGAGGAAAAAGCCGUUUAGGGGCAGUUGGGCUGGUGGAGGGGAAGACGAGUUGGAGAUGACAGUUGAGAAAGCAAAGAAACGAGGAACGGCGAGCACCAUGGUAUAUAUGUUUUAAAGUGAGUGAUUGAAAGUGAAGACGGAGGGAUGUGGGUAAGAGGUUGGUAGAUCAGAAAGGAGGGUAGAUAGAGCUUGCAGACCAAAAAGAAGAGGGGAGUGAUGGAAUGAGUAAGCAGAUUAAAAAAUUGCAGGAUUUAGUGAAAAUAGUAGUGAAAGUUGGAAAGCAAAAUUGGUCAAGGGAGAGAUGGUUCACUAAAAAAAAGGGAAGAGGGAUAUUGGAGUCCAAACACCAUGACAGGGAAGUUUGGGAAAGGAUGGGAGCAGAUGUGCUGGGAGCGUCACAUGUUGCUCAGGGUCUCGGGCUAUAUAAGGUUUUUUUGCAUGACUGCUGCUGCAUUCAUGUAUGAUUGGAUGAUAAUUAAACGAAUUUGAUUUGAAGGAUUAAUUAGUGAGUAUGCCUGCAAGAAAAUGAAUCUCAGGGUCAACAUUUACAACCCUGGGAUACAUUUUCUUGCGGGUGUAUUCACUAAUUCCAUAGUAAAAUAAUAACCAUAACAGAAUCAGUGAAAGAUCACUUAGCAUUCAGCCAGUGUGUAAAACACAACAAAGUCAGCAAAAACAAAUGAAAGAAGUAAUAAUAAUAAGUAAAUAAAUAAGCAGUAAAUAUAGAGACCAUGAGAUGAAGAGACUUUGAAAAUGAUUCCAUAGGUUAUUCCUGGACAAGAUUGGAGACAGAAUCAGCUGAGCAUAAAUGCUGGUGGGGUUUGCAGGCCAUUACUUCCUACAAAAUGAAACCUAAUAUCAUGAAUGGCUGUGAUGCUUUACUCCCAGAUGCCAACGUCAGACUGUCUUUCAAGAGGAUGAACCCUUGCAAGGUGACAGGCCCUGAUAGAGUACCUGGUAGGCUCUGAAAACCUGUGCCAAUCAACUGGCGGGUGGUUUCAAAGACGUUUUCAAUCUCUCAUUGCUACGAUUGGAAGGCCCCACCUGUUUCUGAAAGGCAACAAUCAUCCCAGUGCCCAAGAAAAGCAGGGUGAGCUGCCUUAAUGACUAUCGUCCAAUAGCAAUCAUGUCUAUGGUGAUGAAGUCCUUUGAGAGGUUCGUUAUGACUAGAAUGAAGUCCUAUCUCAGCAAAGACCCGGGCCCAAUGCAAUUUGCAUAUCGCCACAGUAGGUCUAUGGCGAAUGCAACUUCGUUGGCUCUUCAUGUGGCCUUGGAUCACCCGGACAAUACUAAUAACCUAUAUUGGGAUACUGUUGAUUGACUACAAUCACUCCUACAAUUCUGAUCAAAAAGCUUCCAAACCUGGGCCUCUGUACCUACUCCUACAAAUGGAUCCUUAGCUCCCUGACCUGAAGACCACAAUCUGUAUGGAUCAGAAAUAAAAUCCUCACUGGCACAAAGAUGUGUACUUAACCACUGCUCUACUCUCUCCACACCCAUGACUGUGUGAUCAGGCACAGCUCAAAUGCCAUCUAUAAAUUUGUUGACAGCACCACCAUUGGCAGAAUUUCAGAUGGCGACAAGAAGGCUUACCGGAGCAAGAUGUAUCAGCUAGUUGGUGUUGCAGCAACAACGUUGCACUCAGCAUCAGUAAGACCAAUGAAAUGAUUGUGGACUUCGGAAAGGAUUGGGGAAGGACAUACAAGAAAUGCUGUGGAAAACAUCAUCUCCAGAUCAGAUCACAGGAUGGUGGAUGGACAGAUAGGGUGGCAUAUGGGCGGGAGCCAUCAAUAUGACUUCUGCAAUGAAUUUCUGACUCAGGCAGCAGCUGAGUGAUACUAUAGAUGAGCAAAGGCAAUGGAAACAUUGGCAGAAACAAGAUGAACAUCUGCUGGAAAAAGAACCACCUGCCGUAGGAUCUGAUUUAACAUAACAAAGGAACUUGCACACUGGUAUUGUUGUUUUUAUAUUUUGGGGUUUGACAUAUGCCAAUAGACUAUAUUUACAAUGUUAACACAGGCUGCAUUAUGUUGAUGGCAUAGACUAGCAUUUUCAUACUGCUGUAAAGACAUAGAAAAGUAUUUUAAUAUUGAAAUAGUAAGCAACCAGAUAUCACUCAUCCAAAAUUUAAGCUGCCGAAACAUAAAAAUGAUGUUAUUCACUGAAUCUAACUUCUUUUUGCAAUACAGAGUAGGAACUAAGUGAUAGUUCCAGAUAUUAUUCCAGAUGGCAAUUUUUCUUCCUUAUCCUACUUUAACUGUUGGCAAUUGAAGAUCAUUGAAGCUUGAAAUUAUUAUUUUUUUUAAAACAAAUUUUGCUUUACACUUGUAUAAGCACUGGAAUUGAACAAGAAUACCUGUACAUUGCCCAAAUAUACACUGUGAAAUAACUGAUUACAAUUACAGCCUGGGUUUCCUUCUGAGUUUAUCAACAUUGGAGUGAGUUGGGAAUAACAAACUAAAAUGAGCUGAAGUGAGUGAAGGAAGUGAAAAUGAAUUGAGGAUGAGUUAACGGAUGGUGGUGAACAAGCUUCUUUCUUUCUUAAUCAAUCUUUUUAUUAAUUAAAAAAGAGUACAUAUAUAUAAACAAGAGGAGAAUUAUCUCAAAUAUCUAUUUCAAUAACAAUUCAUAUCAAAGGUAAAAUAAACAUUAUCAAGAUCAAACAUAGUAUUAAUCUAAUAGUAUGUAAUAAGGAAUAAGAUAAUCGAUUCUCCUCUUAUCAUUCCAUGAAAAGAAGAAAAAAGAUAAAGAAACUUUUAUAGUUUUAAUAAACAUAAAAAACCCUACUAAACAAAAAAAACAAAAAAAAGAGAAAAACAGGGAACUGUGCAGCUCAAACUGAGAAUGAAAGCAAGAAAAAAGAAAAACUUUCUGAUCAAAUCCAACAUUUUGAAGAGGUAACUAGAAGAGCCGUAACUCAGAUCAUAUGAAAAUAUUGAAUAAAAGGUCGCCAAGUUUCCUCACAUUUAGAGGAUGUAUCAAAUGUCUGACUUCUUAUUUUCUCUAAACUUAAACAGGGCAUAAUGGAAGUAAGCCAAUAAAGACACUGCUCUUUAUUAGAUUUAGAAUCCUUCCAUUUAAGUAAAAUGGCUCUCCUAGCCAUUAAAGUUGUAAAAGCUAUCAUCCGUUGAGCGGAAACAGGAAUAUAUCCUGCUUCUGAUGGAAUGAUCCCAAAAAUUGUUGUAAGUAAAUUCGGUUGUACAGCCAAAUUCAACACUUUUGAUAAAGUUUGAAAGACUUCUUUCCAAAAAUUAUCUAUCUUAAUACAAGACCAAAACUUUAGUGUUAAAGUAGCCACCUCAAUAUCACAUCUGUCGCAAAUAGAAUUAAUAUUGGAAAAGAUACGGGCUAAUUUGUCCUUUGACAUCCGUGCCCGAUGCACUGCCUUGAACUGUAUCAAGGAAUGACAGGCACAAAUAGAUGAAGUAUUUACCAAAUGAAAAAUGUUAUCCCAUUAAUUACCUGUGAAAUUCCAAUUCCCACGCAGCUUUAAUGUUACCAUUAGAUAACAUAUGCAAAUUCAAUAACCAUUUAUAAAUUAUAGCUAUCAGUCCUUUUUGAAAUGGUUUAACCUGAAAAAGAGUAUCUAUACUGGGUGAAUAAGCCGAGGGAAAAUUUGGAAGUAAACUACGUACAAAAUUUCUAAUUUGUAACUAUCUAAAAAAGUGUGCAUUAGAUAGGUCAUAUUUGUCCACUAAUUGAGUGAAAGACGUUAAGCAAUUGCUAUAAACAAGUCUAAAAAAGUUACUAUUCUUUUGGUUUUCCAAAUUAAAAAGGUCUGAUCGGAAAUUGACAGUUUAAAAAAAUAAUUGAGAUGGAUUUUACUAGAAAGAACAAAAUUAUUAAACUCAAAGAAUCUACAAAACUGAAACCAAAUUCUUAAUGUAUGUUUCAUGAUGGGAUUAAGGUCUCGACUACCAAUCUUAGAAAGCAAAAUGGAAGAGGAGCUCCCAGUAAAGAGGCCAAAGAAUACCCCUUCACCGAGUUUUUCUCCAAAUCCACCCAUAAAGGACAGUCAUGUAUGUCUGGAAAAUGAAUCCAAAAAGUCAUGUAUCAAAAGAGCAAGCUUCAAUGCACUUACAGCAUUAGAUUCAUUGGUGAGUUUGGCAAUUAUAUAUCACAAACUAUAGAACAUAGGAACAGAGAGUAAUUGUAGCAGAAAUAGGCCAUUGGCUCUUCAAGCCUAUUCCACUGUUUAAAAACCUUAGGUUAUCCUCAACCUCAAUACAUAUUUCUGCUCUCUCCCUCUAUAUCUCCUGAUGCCUCUUGUAUCUGGAAAUCUAUCAUCUCCCUGAAUAUAUUCAGUGACUUGGUCUUCACAAGUUGACUACCAUCUGAAUGAAGACAUUUUUCCUUACCUAAGUCGUAAAUGUCCCACCUGGUAUUCUGAAACUGUGACCCUGGUUCUAGGUCCUCCAGGCAUGGGAAUAUAUCCUGCCUGGUAAGGCAUGUCAGAACUUUGCAUGUGUCAUUUGUAUUUCUCAUUAACUCUCGUGAAUACAAUCAUCCAGGAAUCAGUAUUUUAUCGUACGAUACAUGCUGUAUAAAUAAAGCCCAAAUGCUGGAAAUAUACCACAUUUUCUUCUGUGCCCGAGAAGAGAUCAGGCAGUUUAAUAUUUCAGGUGUGCCCCUUCAUUAGAAUUGUAAGCUGUAUGACAUACGAUCAACUUUAUGAAGUUGGAGAUCUGAGAAAAAGUGGGGACUGGGAAGUAAGGUGAAGCAAGUGAACAGGUGACCUACAAAUGGAUCACAGAAAAACAUCAGAUAUGGGAUUCACAAGCAUGUCAGGUAUCAUAAUGUGUGUCUCUAAACUUUGUGUUGCUGCAGAGAUUUGACACCAGUAAGAGUGAAAGGAAUAUCUGAUUAAUUGUGAUAGGAUCCAUCAAUUACAUGAGACUUUACAACAGGACAGGGUAAAAUGUCUUAAUACAUCUUUUGUUCAAGAUCCUGAUGGUUGAGGGGUUGGUUGAUCCAGACGGAAUCAAACCAAGACUCAAUACAGCUGCAGCAAGGCAUCCCUGCUCUGUUCUCAAAUCAUCUUGCAAUGAAUACUAAUAUAUCCUAACUGCUUGCUGCACCUGGACAUAUGCUUUCAGUGACUGAUGUACAAAAGAACGCAGGUCUCCAUUCCUUUUCCCAACUUACCACCAUUCAUUUAAAGAUCUGUCUUUCUGUCACUAAUACCAAAAUGAUAAUACCUCAGAUUUGGCCACAUUAAGUUGCAUCUGUUAUGCAUUUGCCCACUCACUUCAUUUGAGUAGGUCAAGUUGGAGCUUUUCUAAAUCCUCCACACGGUGCGCAUUUCAUCCCAGGUUUGAGUGAUUGGCAGAUUUGGAGAUGUUACAUUUAAUUCCCUCAUCCUAUUCAUUGAUACACAGUAUAUUGUGAAUGGCCAAAGCUCAUGUACAGAUCCCUGCUCCAACUUAAUUGUCACUGUCUGCCACCUAAGAAAAAAAUAGCAAGAAUCAAACUUGCAGACAACACAGCUGUGAUGUUAAUUUUGCUGAUGUAGGACAGAUUUCUGUACAUUAUUAAAAUGGUACAAAUAAUCGUUUUAUUUUUAAAUUGUAAUUGGAUUUAAGUGUUGAAUUUUAGAUAUGGACAGUGAGGAAGCUGAAAUUCAGGCAAGCACUCGGUGCUGCCAGCCGAGGCAGAAGUUAAGCAACUACAGAACUGGAUUUGUAACAUUGCACAGGAGUACAGGUGAGGAAUUGGAAUGAACAAUGACAAGUCAAACCAGAAGAUAUGUAAAGCUCAGGACUUGUUAGUCUUUCCCCAUACUAACAAUGGAGAAAGGAUCAAGGUGCUUGGGCAGUGCCAAAUUGGAAGAAGAUCUGGUGAAAAUGUGUGCCCGUCCUAACACUCUUAAAUGUUGCUAUUGUAUUGGUUUCUAUCACUUCCCCUGGCAGCUCUGUGUAAAAGCACUUGCCUCCCUCAUCUGCUUUAGACGUAAUUGUUCCUGUAGUUAAGACAGAUGGCACCAUUAGGAUCUCUGGAGGAUACAAGUUAAAAAUCAAAAGAGAAACAAAGGUCUUGAUAGAGUUGAAGGCCCACUUAGGACCUCUUAAUUACCACAGAUGUGCUCUGCUGUCUUAAAGUGAAGUGUUCAGAUAAGCUGCUGAAUCAGAAGAUAAAAUUGAAAUGAACAGAGGAAUACAAAGCUUUAAUCCGAGUCCGUUGCUGUCAAAUUCACUGAUUCUUGAUUGUUAUGAUUUAGUGAAGCCAUCGCUGAUGUCGUGUGAUGUAUUGGCUAAAGAUGUCUGAUGGAAAUGAACAACCAAUUAGUUUUGCAUGAAGGCUUCUUACCAAAGCAAAUCAAUAUUUUUUUGUAAUUAAAUAAAGAAGGUUUAGCAGUUGUUGAGCUGAUUACCAGUUGUGCACCUGUGUGUAAAGCACAAAUGCUAGGUGACACUGUGUCAUUGAUGAAAUGCCAGCCUACCAGUCUGGUUCCCUCUCAGGGAUAUGCAAAUACACAGCAUGAAUGGGAAGGAAAAUUUAAUAAUGAUAGAUCAUUAUUAUGAUAAAUAAAAGGGUUUGUGAAUGUUGCAUUCCUUUGAUGAUCCAUUGGUGCUGUUCCACUGUGAGGGUGGGUAAGUAUUCUGAUGAAACUGCAUGAGGAUCUCUAAUGUAUAUACACUUGACAUCAAUCAUAUUAUCAGGGGUUUUGUCCACUGUGCUGGAAUAGGCAAAUUGUUGGAGAAAAUUGUGAAGGAAUGUAAGCAAUAUCAAGAGCAACAGAAGAAUCCAGCACUAGUUGUUGUCUGGUAUAGCUACCGGCUGAAUAAAUGGUGGUCACAUUUAUAGAUGUAUUUUGAAAAUACAGUGAUCUUUCUGUGUUAGAUGCACAUUCAAGAUGGAUAAAAGCAGUGCUACUCCUAAAGGGGCCACUUUCCUUUAACGUGUUUGUCAAGGUAAAUAGAAGUAACUUUUCCAGUGAUGAAUUUGCCAGAUUCCUGAAGAGGGAUGGAGUUUAGCUCAGCCAGGCUCAAACUGCUUUCAUAAAAGGAAGAUUAGAUUGUAAACGAUAGUCUAAAAAAUUUAAAGGAAUGAUAUUGAAACAAAAGUUGGAUUAAAAAAAAUUUUCACUACUAAAAUGUGUUUCUUAAAAACACAGGAGAGAAAUUUGCAUAGCUACUGGGAUCAUUGGGUUUGUGAAGCCAAAGCUGGGCAUCCUACAUGGGCAAAACAAAAGGAAGAUCAUUUCACCAGAACUCAGAAAUGCUUCUUUGAAGGAGACGACCCUUGAGUUGUGCAAGAUGCCAUGUGAUGUGUCUAGCUCUUGGUCUCAUCACUGAUUGAACAUUUGUGAUUUGUCCAGAUGGUUGUCACAUGAUGAAACUUCAUAAGGUGUUGUCAGUUUAGCCAGGUGCGUAAUUGCUGGAUUCACAGGCUUGCUUACCUUCAAACUAAAACUAAUGUGGUUAAGGGAAAGCACACCUCAAAAUGAAAUGCUACCAUGUAUGGGCAACAUUCCACUGUGAAAUGAUUAGUGAAAGAGUGAGAAGAACAUAAGAGAGAUUGAAUUUGUAAAGAGGGAAAUAUCUACAGUUUUGCUCUAAUUUUGACAUAUACUUUUGCAUAUGUUUCAUUCAGAACCACAGGGGCAGAACUCCGAUAGCCAAGGCAGAUUUUGGGAACACGGGGAAAGCUUGCAUUGUAAAUUCAUUGUUAUCAUUGUU